rnacentral:rRNA from 1 species
GAUGAACGCUGGCGGCGUGCCUAAUACAUGCAAGUCGAGCGAAUGGAUUAAGAGCUUGCUCUUAUGAAGUUAGCGGCGGACGGGUGAGUAACACGUGGGUAACCUGCCCAUAAGACUGGGAUAACUCCGGGAAACCGGAGCUAAUACCGGAUAACAUUUUGAACCGCAUGGUUCGAAAUUGAAAGGCGGCUUCGGCUGUCACUUAUGGAUGGACCCGCGUCGCAUUAGCUAGUUGGUGAGGUAACGGCUCACCAAGGCAACGAUGCGUAGCCGACCUGAGAGGGUGAUCGGCCAAACUGGGACUGAGAAACGGCCCAGACUCCUACGGGAGGCAGCAGUAGGGAAUCUUCCGCAAUGGACGAAAGUCUGACGGAGCAACGCCGCGUGAGUGAUGAAGGCUUUCGGGCCGUAAAACUCUGUUGUUAGGGAAGAACAAGUGCUAGUUGAAUAAGCUGGCACCUUGACGGUACCUAACCAGAAAGCCACGGCUAACUACGUGCCAGCCGCCGCAGUAA